rnacentral:tRNA from 1 species
GGGGUUGUGGCUCAGUAGUAGAGCGCUUGCCUAGCAUGCAGGAGGCACUGGGUUCAACCCCA